AUUUCCAAUUAAGUCCUUUUUGGAAAUUUGGAGACUCUUUCUUGCAACUUAUGGAUUUUGUCUAAACUAACGUAGCACACAAUGAGUUCAAACGCCCCAAGAAAACAGCCACUUCCCAAAAGCAACUGUAAAUGACAGAGAGGUCCUUUCUUCACAUUUCCUCCUGCUGAGUCAGCUGCUUUAUAUCCUAUGGGGAAAAUGUUUCCUCUCCCCGCUGAGGUGAACACAAGAUUACUAAACGUUUUAGAUGUUCCACUUUCCCCCCAGCUUGAGUAAGUUUUAGUUUAGUCAUAAAUAGGUUUGACUUGUUGACUGGGGCGUUUUAGUAGUUAUUCAUUUAUUUAGAAAUCAGCUGUCAAAGUACACCUUUACGCAUAAAGGUGGCCCUGUACAGAAGCUCCAUUAUAUCAGGCAACGAUGAUGAUGAUGGGGAGGCUACUCGGAAGCUAACCAUCGCUUAUUUACUACAAGAGCCGCACUGCAGGCGAUCGCCGAAACAAAAGCCAACUAGCUUUGACAAAAUAUCACUUAGACUUAUUUGACAUUUGAUAUAAGUUUCGUUUUGUCUCUCGCUGUCUUUUCUAGCUCCAGUUGACGUUGCAGCUUCCUCACCUUUCCGCUUGAAAAACGACAUGACGGGUUUACUCCGAACGUUUCCUCAGCUCGCUGACACCAUCCCGUGAGUUGACAGCUCCCGUCAUUCAAAUUGAUCCGCAAUGUACACUCAACACAUUGAAAUGGUGUGCGAAUGAACGCUGUCAAAUUCCAUUUUUUGCCAGAGCGCCAGC